GCAGGCUGCAACCCGCCUGCGUGAAGUUGGAAUCGCUAGUAAUCGCGGAUCAGCAUGCCGCGGUGAAUACGUUCCCGGGCCUUGUACACACCGCCCGUCACACCAUGAGAGUCGGGAACACCCGAAGUCCGUAGCCUAACCGCAAGGGGGCGCGGCCGAAGGUGGGUUCGAUAAUUGGGGUGAAGUCGUAACAAGGUACC
rnacentral:rRNA from 1 species